rnacentral:rRNA from 1 species
UACGUAGGGUGCGAGCGUUAAUCGGAAUUAUUGGGCGUAAAGGGCGCGUAGGCGGUGCGGUAAGUCACCUGUGAAAACUCUGGGCUCAACUCAGAGCCUGCAGGCGAAACUGCCGUGCUUGAGUGUGGGAGAGGUGCGUGGAAUUCCCGGUGUAGUGGUGAAAUGCGUAGAUAUCGUGAGGAAGACCAGUGGCGAAGGCGGGGUCUCUGGACAGUUCCUGACACUGAGGCACGAAGGCCCAGGGGGAGCAAACGGG